GGUUUAUGGAUUGUGUUGUUCAGUCCCUUUCGCAUUAGACAAGUGUAAAUGCUCAAUAAGUUACGAUGACUGCAAUCAGUCUAUGUAUACCCCUGAUCACAGUAUUUAUUAUCACAUUUAAAGCUUCCUAUUCCACAUACAUGGAUGGAGAUUUCAAAGAUUAAGAAUUACAACUCCUAUUGCUGCAAGGCAGCAUCUGAGCAUCAUGUCAGAAGAUAAUCUCUCUGCUAUAUACAAUGCAAC